rnacentral:tRNA from 1 species
UGUCCAAGGAUGGGAAUCGAACCCACAGUGUUCUGCUUACCGGGCAGAUGCCAUGUCCACUAGGUUACAUGAC